rnacentral:rRNA from 1 species
UACAGAGGUCUCAAGCGUUGUUCGGAUUCAUUGGGCGUAAAGGGUGCGUAGGCGGCGCGGUAAGUCGGGUGUGAAAUCUUGGAGCUUAACUCCGAAACUGCAUUCGAUACUGCCGUGCUUGAGGACUGGAGAGGAGACUGGAAUUUACGGUGUAGCGGUGAAAUGCGUAGAUAUCAGGAGGAACACCGGCGGCGAAGGCGGCCCUCUGGAUCGUUGCUGACGCUGAGACGCGAAAGCGUGGGGAGCAAACAGG